GCUAGCCAGUGCUUGCCACUGAGGUGAUUUGAUGCAGCAAAGUGGGACAGGCUGGCCCGCAGCCAUGCGGUUCUCACUUGUGGCUGAUUCCAUCGAAUCUGACAAGCAAGCUAAGCAGAGGCUGCUGGAUCAAUUCCUGUAGGAGAGGCGUCCAAAAAACAAGUAAACAAAAAAGAUCAACAACAGGCUGUCCUGAGAGCUCUGGGACUGGAUGUUUUUAGUUUCUGCAGAUUCAACUGAUGUUUGGCCUUAGAAAGAGUUAUGCUGCUGGUUUUCCUCCAGGUUUGUGAAUUUUCAGUAUCUUGACCUGUCUCCUGAACUCUUAGAACCCUGGAACCUUGAAUCUCUGGACUGGCUUCUGACUAAGAGCUCUACUGGACUCUACUUUGUGAGGAUUCCAGCCAUUGCUGUGCUCAGGCUCCUCCCCAGUCAUGGCCAAGAAAAUCACACACUCUCAUCCUAAGAAGACGUCUGUGGUGGCCCCCUCUGAAUAACUCUUUCUACGAAAACCCUGUAAUAAUUUCACAGAAGUGAACUUGAAGAUACAUAACAAGAAAAAAAACAAUGCAGGGAAGUUAAUCCUGAAACUAUGUAAAUAUAUGCGGGGAAACCAUAACUGAAUUAGAUGAGGUUUACUCCUGACUUGAUGUGUUCUGUCCCAUUCAUAGACUUUACACUUUUCCCAUUGUGACAGUGCAAAGUCAAGUGGUCCAAUUUAGCCCACAGGUAGAAAGAAG